CCAUUGAUAUGAGGCAUUUUGAGAAGCCCAAAGUGAAGCCAUUAGAGCUUGUACUUAAAGUGGACAAUAUCAUACCAUUGUAGAGAUCCGUGAUUCCUAAUAU